GCAAAACCUACAAAACAACGUAGAAUACGAAUGCAAAGUAGUGGUAGACAAUGGACUGGUGAGUCUGGAUCUCGGUCUUGAUUGCAUGAAAGAUGCAAUGGCGACGAUUGGCAGCCAGAAUGAUUCAGAACUAUUAUUUGCCGAACUAAAUGAGACAAUGACGGAAAAUACCAUUUAUGGUAGUUGCCCUAAAAACAAUAACGAAAUGGUUGGUGAUGGCAAUGAUUGGUUCUGAAAAUGAUUAUACAGUUCCUGCUCCUGAAGAAAACUCUGAAUCAAAUAGUCAAUCAACUGAAUCAAAUGAAUCAGCACAACGAGCAUCCUGAAGACCAUUCAAAAAUUAAUGAUUCGUUGAAUAAAGAUGACCCAGACUACGAAGUUGAAAACUCAGAUUGCCAAUCUGACAAUGCACCAUCUUUAGCUGAGCCAGUGGAUACAGCCAAGCCAGUAAUUGCAGUAACAAGAAAGGGACAAAAAAAAGAGUUAGACGAAAUUAAAGCAGCACCUGAGGAAUGGGCAAAGAAUAAAAGCAAAAAACAAAGAUUGUUGGGAAAAGAAUA